rnacentral:lncRNA from 1 species
AAAACUGAAUGAAGGCUAUGAAAGAAGUCACAGGAGGAUUUUUGCAGAGCUUCCAUCCAGUUCAGAAACAAAGCAAUUCAAUACAUGUCUUCAAGAUUUCUAAAGGCAAUGACUUAAUUCUAAGUUCCAUGAAAGCAGGCAUUGUGUGAAUUUCUCCUGCAUCUGGAACUGGCCUAGCACACCAAGUACAUGUUCCCACCUGAAGAACUUCCUUGAAGAUGUCUUAUAGUGCAGAUCAGAUGCUGGCCAUUUUUAUAUUAUAUGGAUGAGUGUCCAGAUUCAGUUAUAUUCUUUUAACAACUGUUGAAAUUUAUUCUGGCAGAUAGUUAAUUUUAUGUGUCAACUUGACUGGGCCACAGGAUGCUGAGAUACCUGGUUCAACAUUAUUUAUGGAAUCCAAGAAGACUCUAAAACCUCCAGUACUCAUGAAGAGAUGAGUUUGCUCAUUAUCAAUCUCAUUGAUCCUUAGCAUCGGAGCUGAGAGGGAGCCAGGAUGUUCAUCACACUGUGUAAAUGGCCUCUGUGAAGAACUUCCUGGGGAAAAUUCUUCAAAUCAAAGGCAGAGGGUAAGGAAGAAAAUGAGAACUGAAACUGCUCCAAUCCCAGCUAGGAGAGAGGAAGAACUGUAAAGAAACCCCCCAAAUUACAUUGUAGAAUUAUUUUUCCCUAUGGUAUUAGGUUGAUCCCCCUUUCCUGGCCACCAGCAGCCCCUUUCCACACUUCUAGGAGCACCAGGAUCAAUUACCAUUCAUUGUUAUUUCAUGUGCAUAGACAACAGAACUUGCUGCUGUCAUAAAAGUAAAGGAACAGAUUUCUUAAAUUGCUACUUGAAGGAGCUCUUCUAUAUCAGUGCCAUUAAAUUAAAUUUCUGCUCUGUAUAAUGCAUAAAAA